GAUGAACGCUGGCGGCGUGCUUAACACAUGCAAGUCGAACGGGAUCCCAGGAGCUUGCUCCUGGGUGAGAGUGGCGAACGGGUGAGUAAUGCGUGACCGACCUGCCCCAUACACCGGAAUAGCUCCUGGAAACGGGUGGUAAUGCCGGAUGCUCCAGUUGACCGCAUGGUCCUCUGGGAAAGCUUUUGCGGUAUGGGAUGGGGUCGCGUCCUAUCAGCUUGAUGGCGGGGUAACGGCCCACCAUGGCUUCGACGGGUAGCCGGCCUGAGAGGGCGACCGGCCACAUUGGGACUGAGAUACGGCCCAGACUCCUACGGGAGGCAGCAGUGGGGAAUAUUGCACAAUGGGCGCAAGCCUGAUGCAGCGACGCCGCGUGCGGGAUGACGGCCUUCGGGUUGUAAACCGCUUUUGACUGGGAGCAAGCCCUUCGGGGUGAGUGUACCUUUCGAAUAAGCA
rnacentral:rRNA from 1 species